AGCUUUUCGAAUCCGUGCUGAGAUUUCGUCAGACACCAACCCAUUAAGGCUGAUCAGAUUUCCAAGAAAAGUGAAGUU
rnacentral:pre_miRNA from 1 species